CCCUUAGAUGUUCUGGGCGGCCCGCGCACCACAUUGGCACUAGCAAAGAGAUCCUAGAUUGAAUUCUUUGGGGUAUUCUUCUAAAUGGUGUCGUGACUGGGAUAAAUCCUUGUAAUUAUUGGUUUUGAACGAGGAAUUCCUUGUAAUCGCGGUUUAUCAGCUCGCGUUGAAUGCGUCCCUGCCCUUUGUACACACCGCCCGUCGCUCCUACCGAUGGAUCGUCCGGUGAAGCUCACGGAGUGACUGUUCACGCAACGGUUUACGAAGUGAAAUGGACCUCACGAUUUAGAGGAAGGAGAAGUCGUAACA
rnacentral:rRNA from 1 species